CAGUCGCCGCGGUAAUACGAAGGGGGCUAGCGUUGCUCGGAAUUACUGGGCGUAAAGGGCGCGUAGGCGGACAGUUCAGUCGGGGGUGAAAGCCCGGGGCUCAACCUCGGAAUUGCCUUCGAUACUGGCUGUCUUGAGUAUGAGAGAGGUGUGUGGAACUCCGAGUGUAGAGGUGAAAUUCGUAGAUAUUCGGAAGAACACCAGUGGCGAAGGCGACACACUGGCUCAUUACUGACGCUGAGGCGCGAAAGCGUGGGGAGCAAACAGGAUUAGAUACCCCCGUAGUCCCUGUCUCUUAUAU
rnacentral:rRNA from 1 species